AUUGAACGCUGGCGGCAGGCCUAACACAUGCAAGUCGAACGGUAAUAGGAAGCAGCUUGCUGCUUCGCUGACGAGUGGCGGACGGGUGAGUAAUGUCUGGGAAACUGCCUGAUGGAGGGGGAUAACUACUGGAAACGGUAGCUAAUACCGCAUAACGUCGCAAGACCAAAGAGGGGGACCUUAGGGCCUCUUGCCAUCGGAUGUGCCCAGAUGGGAUUAGCUAGUAGGUGGGGUAACGGCUCACCUAGGCGACGAUCCCUAGCUGGUCUGAGAGGAUGACCAGCCACACUGGAACUGAGACACGGUCCAGACUCCUACGGGAGGCAGCAGUGGGGAAUAUUGCACAAUGGGCGCAAGCCUGAUGCAGCCAUGCCGCGUGUAUGAAGAAGGCCUUCGGGUUGUAAAGUACUUUCAGCGGGGAGGAAGGGAGUAAAGUUAAUACCUUUGCUCAUUGACGUUACCCGCAGAAGAAGCACCGGCUAACUCCGUG
rnacentral:rRNA from 1 species